UCAAGAUGAGUUAUCAGCUCUUAACUUCAAAAUUGAAUUAGGAACUUCAACGUCCUUCCCCCACAAAAUCAGGAGAGAUAAGGAAAAGGCUAUUACUGAACCUGAAGUUUUGAUGACAGGAAAUAGAAUGGUCCAAUUGGGAACUAGGAGAGAGGGAUAUAAGGCAAGGAAUUGACUUAGCAACCAUACAGUUGCUUCACAUAUUUUACAGGUUUCUUCAAGGACCAGAAGUUUGAAUAUUGGAUAGAUAUAAAAUAUAAGAAGUCGGGGGGCUGAACUUAUGAAAAUGCAAUAGACCCUGCGCCUGAGCCUAUGGUGCCAAUAAACAAAGAACAUGGGUAUCUCAUUUCUUCUCUCUAUUUUUUCGAGCAAAUUCUUUUUUUUUGUUCAAUGUAUUUAUUCUUCAAUUCUGAUUUCUUUCUUGCUAGAUGCAGAGAAUCCACCACGUGUUCCAU